ensembl:lncRNA
CUUCAAGAGAACUCAAAACUGAAGACCAAAGGAGAGGGCUUAGGUUUAUGUGGAAGUGGGGCCGUAGUCAACUACAUUACCACACAACAAAGACUUUGGCUUGACGUUUAAGUUUUCAGUCAUGUUGGAAAGUAACGUUGACUCUUUUAUAAACGACGCAUUCCACAGUUUUAACUCAUUUUUAGUUGUGUCUGGAGGUCAUGUCUCUAAAAAAAAGUCUAUAAAUAGACCUCAAGUUCACCAGAUGCCUGACGAGUGGAUGCCCUGACUCAUGCACUAAGCUACAGUGUCUGUUAAAUCCAUAAUGCGGAUAUCACAGUCGCUGAGCGGGCUCUGGAGCAGCACAGAGUAUAUCUCCCUUUUUUGAACCUGAUUGCUGCAUUACUUAUACGCAGAGUGGAAGACCGCAGGCUGCCACGUCUUUCCACCAUUAUGGUGAUACUGACGACAGUGACAGAGAGCCUGCACCCAAGAAGGCCCCAACACCAUCAAUACGGCCGUCUUCAGGACCGUCAUUACCAUCACGAUCAACCAACUCCGUGGCCAUCCUACUUCGCCCAACCUCCAUUACCACCACCUCCAGGGCCAUCCUCAUUUUCUCCACUUCCACCACGCUCCCCUUCAAGGCCCCCCUCAGUUUCUACACCUCAUCAGCAGUUAUUCCAACCUCCUUACACCUGUUCAUCUCAGGACAACUACAUCGAUCCAUCUCCGUGCCAUCCACCUCCCGGGAUGUCCUCUGAUGGCUUAGCUAGUUAGAGAUAGAGCCACCGUAUUUAUGCCCAGCCUGAAUAUGGGGCGUUCUGGGAAGGACCCAAUAAUCUGCACACCUGCUGAGCUCCACAUGCUGACACUAAUGGAGAACACGAAGCAACAGCUAAACCAGCUUUCAAUAAAUAUGAUCACGGCCGGAGCAGCAGCCGCUGAGCCUGUUGUGAGGAGAUCUCCUUCCCCCUGGACUCCUCGAGGGGGGGGGGAUGCUGGCCUCCAUUGGGGGAAGAGAUACCAAACACAUUGUCUUUAACAUUUUGGCCGACAGUGUAGCCAAAUCAAUAAAUUGGAAAGGGAUGAACAAUAAAAAGAAAUUCAGUGAGAUAGGAACCAAAACCAUCAUGGCUCGAGCAGUGAGGAAGAAUCGGCUUUCGAACAAAGCCACAGACACCGAAAUGAAUCAAAUAGCCAUCAGAUGGUUUAAUCUGGCUUGCGCCCGUGGGGGGGCUCGCCGUGCCCGGUCACAACCAACUGAGAUGCAGUGAUCACAUCAGGUUUUGUUCUUUAUAUUUUUACUGUUACUGUUUAUGACAUUUUAUACCUCCACACACACACACACUUUUUUUUCUGCAUGCACACACACACGUACACGCUGUUCAUGCUGUAAGUGCUCUUUUGCCUUAUUUAAAUAAAAAACUAUUUUGAAA